rnacentral:rRNA from 1 species
GGAGGUAGUGACAAUAAAUCUCAAUACGAAGCCUUUGGUUUUGUAAUUGAAUUGAGAACAAUGUACAAUCGUUAUCGAUAAACAAUUGGAGGGCAAGUCUGGUGCCAGCAGCCGCGGUAAUUCCAGCUCCAAUAGCGUAUAUUAACGUUGUUGCAGUUAAAAAGCUCGUAGUUGAAGUUUAGAUAAUUUGUUGAGGGUGUUAGUAUUCGUACUAUCUGCCCUCAAUAGAUUAUCGACUUCCAGGUAAGCUCAAUAAUCCCUCCGGGGACUAUCGAGCCAGACUGGUCUUUUACUGUGAGAAAAUUAGAGUGUUUAAAGCAAACUUCAUAUGUUUGAAUAGAUUAGCAUGGAAUAAUAAGAUUGGCUUUCAUAGUCGAUUUUUUGGUUUGUUUAUGAAAGCAAGAUUAAUAGGGACAGUUGGGGGUAUUCAUAUUCAAUAGCUAGAGGUGAAAUUCUAUGAUUUAUGGAAGAUGAACAAGUGCGAAAGCA